rnacentral:rRNA from 1 species
GACCAGACUCCUACGGGAGGCAGCAGUGGGGAAUAUUGCACAAUGGGGGAAACCCUGAUGCAGCAACGCCGCGUGAGUGAAGAAGUAUUUCGGUAUGUAAAGCUCUAUCAGCAGGGAAGAAAAUGACGGUACCUGACUAAGAAGCCCCGGCUAACUACGUGCCAGCAGCCGCGGUAAUACGUAGGGGGCAAGCAUUAUCCGGAUUUACUGGGUGUAAAGGGAGCGUAGACGGCCAGACAAGUCAGAAGUGAAAGCCCGGGGCUCAACCCUGGGACUGCUUUUGAAACUGCCGGGCUGGAGUGCAGGAGAGGUAAGCGGAAUUCCUAGUGUAGCGGUGAAAUGCGUAGAUAUUAGGAGGAACACCAGUGGCGAAGGCGGCUUACUGGACUGUAACUGACGUUGAGGCUCGAAAGCGUGGGGAGCAAACAGGAUUAGAUACCCCAGUACAG